CGGCGAGCGUUAUCCGGAUUUAUUGGGUUUAAGGGUGCGUAGGCGGUUUAUUAAGUCGAUGGUGAAAGGUAGCAGCUUAACUGUUUUACAUGCUGUCGAUACUGAUAAACUUGAGUUGUUAGAAGGUAGCUAGAAUUCCUGGUGUAGCGGUGAAAUGCUUAGAUACCAGGAGGAAUACCAAUUGCGAAGGCAGGUUACUGCAUACAAACUGACGCUGAGGCACGAAAGUAUGGGGAUCAAACAGGAUUAGAUACCCUGGUAGUCCAUACAGUAAACGAUGAUUACUAGCUGUUAGUUAAAGAUUAGUGGCUAAGGGAAACCGAUAAGUAAUCCACCUGGGGAGUACGCCGGCAACGGUGAAACUCAAAGGAAUUGACGGGGGCCCGCACAAGCGGUAAUCGA
rnacentral:rRNA from 1 species